GCUGGGGUGGCUCAGUUGGUUAAGCAUCUGACUUCGACUCAGGUCAUGAUCUCAUAGUCUGUGGGUUCAAGCCCCACGUCGAGUU
rnacentral:tRNA from 1 species